rnacentral:rRNA from 1 species
AAUGAACGCUGGCGGCGUGCCUAAUACAUGCAAGUCGAGCGAACGGACGAGAAGCUUGCUUCUCUGAUGUUAGCGGCGGACGGGUGAGUAACACGUGGAUAACCUACCUAUAAGACUGGGAUAACUUCGGGAAACCGGAGCUAAUACCGGAUGAUAUUUUGAACCGCAUGGUUCAAAAGUGAAAGACGGUCUUGCUGUCACUUAUAGAUGGAUCCGCGCUGCAUUAGCUAGUUGGUAAGGUAACGGCUUACCAAGGCAACGAUGCAUAGCCGACCUGAGAGGGUGAUCGGCCACACUGGAACUGAGACACGGUCCAGACUCCUACGGGAGGCAGCAGUAGGGAAUCUUCCGCAAUGGGCGAAAGCCUGACGGAGCAACGCCGCGUGAGUGAUGAAGGUCUUCGGAUCGUAAAACUCUGUUAUUAGGGAAGAACAUAUGUGUAAAUAACUGUGCACAUCUUGACGGUACCUAAUCAGAAAGCCACGGCUAACUACGUG